rnacentral:lncRNA from 1 species
AUCAAAUAUACCCAGACAUCACUUUCUAUCAGAGAUAUGUUCUUUUAAAACAUGAUAGACUGAAACAAUACAAAUCAAAAUAAUUUCCAUAAGAAACCAUUGAAAUAUGGAAGAUUGGGAACUUGCACUACAAUUUUCAACAAAUAAAAUUGUAAAAGGCAUCUGCAGUAUGUAUAGUACAUCUAUUUAGAGUAGAAACUAAACAGUCCAGGAUGCUUUUACUAUAGGAAAGAGUUUUUGCAUGGUAUAAAGAAUAAAAGGUGUAAUAUUGCACCUCUCUCUUGUUAGAUGUCAUGUUGGUGAUGUAAAGCUGAAUGAAAUAACAUAACAUUGUGUUUUUGAUAAGUUAAAAUUGAGUGUUUUAGAUAAAAAUAGUUUAACUCUCACUGCCAUUGCCUAGAAUGGAUGGCAAAAGGUAAUUAUUAUCAGGCAGUUGACCUGUAUACACAGCAACAGUUUGGAAUGGUCUGUUGCAGUUUUUAUAAAUUAUUUUAUGCUAAUCUAGAAAACCUUUUUCAAAAUGUAAUUACUAUAUAUUUUAGAUUAUAUUUAUUAUUUGAAUGCAUCUUAUAUAUUUAUUAUCGAAUACUGAUUUAUAAAUUUUUGUAUUUCGUUAUUAUUAUUUAAAUGGGUAUGGUACACUAGUUAAGAACUCCUGCCAAUUCCUUCCUGCAAAAUUUUCCUUCCAUUUAAGCUUAAUACUAUCUCUUAUUGGCAGAAAAGUAUACAGUAAAACCUCGAUUUUACAGACUAUAGGGGGCAAGACUAGUCCG